UGGGGAAUAUUGCACAAUGGGCGCAAGCCUGAUGCAGCCAUGCCGCGUGUAUGAAGAAGGCCUUCGGGUUGUAAAGUACUUUCAGCGGGGAGGAAGGGAGUAAAGUUAAUACCUUUGCUCAUUGACGUUACCCGCAGAAGAAGCACCGGCUAACUCCGUGCCAGCUGCCGCGGUAAUACGGAGGGUGCAAGCGUUAAUCGGAAUUACUGGGCGUAAAGCGCACGCAGGCGGUUUGUUAAGUCAGAUGUGAAAUCCCCGGGCUCAACCUGGGAACUGCAUCUGAUACUGGCAAGCUUGAGUCUCGUAGAGGGGGGUAGAAUUCCAGGUGUAGCGGUGAAAUGCGUAGAGAUCUGGAGGAAUACCGGUGGCGAAGGCGGCCCCCUGGACGAAGACUGACGCUCAGGUGCGAAAGCGUGGGGAGCAAACA
rnacentral:rRNA from 1 species